rnacentral:rRNA from 1 species
UACGUAGGGUGCGAGCGUUGUCCGGAAUUACUGGGCGUAAAGAGCUCGUAGGCGGUUUGUCGCGUCGUCUGUGAAAACUCGGAGCUUAACUCCGGGCGUGCAGGCGAUACGGGCAGACUUGAGUACUACAGGGGAGACUGGAAUUCCUGGUGUAGCGGUGAAAUGCGCAGAUAUCAGGAGGAACACCGGUGGCGAAGGCGGGUCUCUGGGUAGUAACUGACGCUGAGGAGCGAAAGCAUGGGUAGCGAACAGGAUUAGAAACCCUAGUAGUCC